rnacentral:rRNA from 1 species
UAACCAGGAGGAAGGUGGGGAUGACGUCAAAUCAUCAUGCCCCUUAUGUGUAGGGCUACACACGUGCUACAAUGGCUGGUACAGAGAGAUGCAAUACCGUGAGGUGGAGCCAAACUUUAAAACCAGUCUCAGUUCGGAUUGUAGGCUGAAACUCGCCUACAUGAAGCUGGAGUUACUAGUAAUCGCGAAUCAGAAUGUCGCGGUGAAUACGUUCCCGGGUCUUGUACACACCGCCCGUCACACCAUGAGAGUUGGCAAUACCCGAAGUCCGUGAGCUAACCGCAAGGAGGCAGCGGCCGAAGGUAGGGUCAGCGAUUGGGGUGAAGUCGUAACAAGGUAGCCGUAGGAGAACCUGCGGCUGGAUCACCUCCUUU